UCAUAUUCAUGCAAGAAUUAUUUGUAAAAAAAGUUUGAAUGUUUGGGAGAGAGGAAGUAUGUUUAAUUUAAAGAAAAAAUUUAAAAAGCCUAUAUUUUUAAAUGCUCUAAAAAGUGGGAUGUUACAAACAUCAUUUUUGACAUUUGGUUCCAAUCACUAUUCGUUUGUCUCCACUCAUCUCUACCAUUGUAUUGCCUCGCCCUAGCCAGUCUGCUGUCCUAAGCAUCCAUCUAAGCCUCCAGAAUACUGAAGCUUAUCAGUGCUAUGGAAUUCACCAUCCACAUAGCUUUGUUCCCGGUCGCAGUAAUUUAGAAGGCGUGUCUAAUAAAACGUAGACACUAGAUACCAAGGUUGCAACAUUUUGAGACAGGUAUUGGAGCCAGAUUUGGAUCAUCUAUAUUAAUGACAA
rnacentral:lncRNA from 1 species